UGCUCGCAAACAUUAUUUGCCCUCUGUCUGCCGGCUCCCUCCUGUAAAUUCAUCGUCGCUCCGCUUUCGCCAAUAACACGAAUAAUUCUUCAUUAGCUCUUCCAGACCUCAAUGCAUGGCUGGACCUGGCAAGAAUACCUUGCGCAAUAUUUAAUAUGGAUCACCUUCGACAUUGUUUUCUCGAUCUUAAAUCUAUCCUUGGUUCUUGGAUUGGUAUGGCCACCAACCAAUGGGAUCUUUUUUGUUCGAUCCUGCACGGAUCCCGGAUCAAUACAUUCGUUUUAUUCCUUAAUGAAGAACAGAUGUGCUAAGUGUUCCCUCUCCUUUUUAUUGAACGAGCACAUCCUUUCCUCCGGCGUUUUUCUCGAUUUGUUCAAGAAUAGGAUCGACGUUGCCAUUCUGUAUUAAACACACUUCUCAGUUAUAUUAAUGAAGGCUUUCUCAUAACGACAUUGGGCCUAUUUAUCACGUCUUCGUUGGGUAGGAGAUUGAACCUUUGAUAACGUUUUCUCACUAAAAUAUUUGGAAAAGAUGCACCUUAAGUCUUCAUCAAAAGUUAGAAGGACAAAUUAGAAAUUUAACGCUUCUAAACCCAGAUAAAUAAAAUUUUGAGGUGUGUUCCGAUGUUCUACCAAUAAAGGAUUGUCCAAUUGAGUCGGAUGAUGUUCUCUAAAUAGAACAUCCGUAGAAACAUCCUGGAGUUGAAAUUUAUUAGCUCAUCUGGUCCUAGUAAAUAAAGUAUUACUUUUAGAGUGGAAGCCGAUGAGGUUGUAUCUAUUUCAAUUAAAUGUUCAGCGUUCUCAAACAGCCAUGUGAGAUUUAACCUUUUCCAAAACCUUUGAAUAGUUGAGAGAUCCAAACUCCACUCUCGUAAUAGUGCCUCCAUUCAGGAUUCAUGAAUCUUUAAAAAAUAUUUAUCAGCGCUAAUGGAUUAAUAGUGAGGAUUAUAAGGACAAAUGAAGAUCCAAAUUCCUUCCAUAGCUAUAUAAUUAAUUUGAUCGAGAUACAAACAGUUCAGCUCGAACCUAUGUUGUAAAAACGUAAAAUGUCGUACGGAAAAAAUCUCCUUGAGGCAAAAUCACCAGCUGCAAAAAUGUUUAUGUGAAAAUUAUCGGCCAGGAUAAAAAAUAAUCUUACAACAUCAAAUUAUUAAAUAUCUCAAAUGGAAAUGAAAUGAAAAAAAAAAAAAAUUAGAAAAAAUGAUGAUUGCAUAGAAUUAGCUCACGGAUCUAAGAAGAUAUAUAUUGUUUGAAAAGUCGUUUUAAGUGGUUCG
rnacentral:lncRNA from 1 species